UCCCAGAUGGUAAAGAAUCUGCCUGUAAUACAGGAGACCCAGGUUUGAUCCCUGGUCUGGGAA
rfam:TPA: Bos taurus chromosome 3, whole genome shotgun sequence.